UCCUUUAUAGUCAACUAUUUUUCUCCUGUUUUUUAACACCUUUUAAUGAUUAACUCUUAUUUUCUAUUAAACAAAUUAUACAAAUGAAUAAUAUACAAAAUAUGAAAAGGGCUUGCUGGUCGGUACUCGAGACCCAUAUUCGAAUCCUAGUUGAUUCACAUUUUCAGCUAAGUUUAUUUCUAAAUGAAAUAACCGAAGCGGGUAGCAUGCUAUCUAUCUCUCUAAAAAAAAAAACAGAAAAAAAAAA
rnacentral:lncRNA from 1 species